GAUGAACGCUGGCGGCGUGCCUAAUACAUGCAAGUCGAGCGAACAGACGAGGAGCUUGCUCCUCUGACGUUAGCGGCGGACGGGUGAGUAACACGUGGAUAACCUACCUAUAAGACUGGGAUAACUUCGGGAAACCGGAGCUAAUACCGGAUAAUAUAUUGAACCGCAUGGUUCAAUAGUGAAAGACGGUUUUGCUGUCACUUAUAGAUUGAUCCGCGCCGCAUUAACUAGUUGGUAAGGUAACGGCUUACCAAGGCAACGAUGCGUAGCCGCCCUGAGAGGGUGAUUGGCCACACUGGAACUGAGACACGGUCCAGACUCCUACGGGAGGCAGCAGUAGGGAAUCUUCCGCAAUGGGCGAGAGCUUGACGGAGCAACGCGGCGUGAGUGAUGAAGGUCUUCGGAUCGUAAAACUCUGUUAUUAGGGAAGAACAAAUGUGUAAGUAACUAUGCACGUCUUGACGGUACCUAAUCAGAAAGCCACGGCUAACUACGUG
rnacentral:rRNA from 1 species